rnacentral:tRNA from 1 species
GGUGGGUUGGCUCAGGGGUUAGAGCGGAGGACUCGUAACCGCAAGGUCGCGGGAUCGAAUCCCGCUAGAGGCUG